AGUGGCGACGAAGGGGAUGAGCCCAGCGCAUAACCUCCCGGGCCACCUAGCCUGCGGCGGAAUGUUGCGUUAAGGGAAAGGUCGUUUCAAAGCCCUGUGCUCCGUGCUCCUAAGCAUGGCCUGAAUAUCCACUGCUUCCCAACGGAAGUAACGGCUCCAUGGAGGGUGACAGACCCGUAUGGGCACGUGGACUGCACAUGGGUUCGGCUUUUUUCCCUGAGAGUCGCGUUGCUUGAGCAUGCAGCGCUAAGCAGGUCGUAAACUCGACCUAAGGCUAAAUAUUUCCACAGAACCGAUAGUAAACAAGUACCGUGAGGGAAAGUUGAAAAGCACUCUGAAGAGAGAGUCAAAAGACCGUGAAACCGCUUAGAGUAUAAGCCGAUGGUAUUCGGAAGGUUGGGUCCGCACCUAACUGGGCUACUCUUUUGAGGCAGACUGGCCACGGUGUAACGUUUGUGAUAAAGAUCAGAAGGCUGGAGUGGCAUCGAACCAAGAGUGGCAUUGAGUUGAUAUCACGCCGAAUAUAACUUGCGGGGCUCUGACAGUGGUAACAGGGAAGGUUCUAAAGAGGAUCCGACCCGAGGCUGGCCUUUUGCAAGCUCCGGCUGCUAGUCACAUGAACGAGUGGACUACACACAACCCACCACAACUCCUUACAAGGUCACCCACGUGCGACAUGGCUUGGCGUGGCGUCGUGCGCGUUCAGACAGCUCUUGGUCAUGUGUGUCGCAAGUAUCACGGCCCGCACUCGGUCGCACAAACCGAGCGGGUAGACCCUGAGCCGGCCGACGCUCCCAUGUCGAUUCCAGACGCGUGAUUGGUAUGAUCCUUCUGUGAGGGUUGCUUUUCUGACGGUCCAUAAACCUGGACGCUUUUCCCC
rnacentral:rRNA from 1 species